AUCACGUCCGAUCAAAGAAGUUAAGCAACGUCAAGCCAGGAUAGUACCUAGAUGGGUGAUCGCUUGGGAAGACCAGCUGCUGUAAU